GUGAACGCCCUCACGGGCUUAUAACUAUUCCAAACCUCUGUGAACCGUGCCCUUCGGGGCUAUUUUACAAACAUGGUGUAAUGAACGUCAUAUAUCAUAACAAAACA
rnacentral:misc_RNA from 3 species